AGUGAACGCUGGCGGUAGGCCUAACACAUGCAAGUCGAACGGCAGCACAGUAAGAGCUUGCUCUUACGGGUGGCGAGUGGCGGACGGGUGAGGAAUACAUCGGAAUCUACUUUUUCGUGGGGGAUAACGUAGGGAAACUUACGCUAAUACCGCAUACGACCUACGGGUGAAAGCAGGGGAUCUUCGGACCUUGCGCGAUUGAAUGAGCCGAUGUCGGAUUAGCUAGUUGGCGGGGUAAAGGCCCACCAAGGCGACGAUCCGUAGCUGGUCUGAGAGGAUGAUCGGCCACACUGGAACUGAGACACGGUCCAGACUCCUACGGGAGGCAGCAGUAGGGAAUCUUGGGCAAUGGGCGCAAGCCUGAUCCAGCCAUACCGCGUGAGUGAAGAAGGCCUUCGGGUUGUAAAGCCCUUUUGUUGGGAAAGAAAAGCAGCAGAUUAAUACCCCGCUGUUCUGACGGUACCCAAAGAGUAAGCACCGGCUAACUUCGUG
rnacentral:rRNA from 1 species